AACUUGCUGCAACGUGUCUCUUGGUUCUGGCAUCGAUUAAGAACGCAGCGAAAUGCGAUAAGUAAUGUGAAUUGCAGAAUUCAGUGAAUCAUCGAAUCUUUGAACGCACAUUGCGCCCGCUGGUAUUCCGGCGGGCAUGCCUGUUCGAGCGUCAUUAUGACCAAUCAAGCUCUGCUUGGCCUUGGGGCCCGCUGUACCGGCGGCCCUUAAAACUAGUGGCGGUGCCGUCUGGCUCUAAGCGUAGUAAUACUUCUCGCUAUAGUGUCUAGGCGUCCACCCGCCAGAACCUCCAACUUUCUUAGGUUGACCUCGGAUCAGGUAGGGAUACCCGCUGAACUUAAGCAUAUCAAUAAGCGGAGGCU
rnacentral:misc_RNA from 1 species